UCCCAUCUGUGACUGUCAACCUAUAUUUCA
rnacentral:piRNA from 1 species